CUGACCCUCCACUAUGGCCCGCUGCCCCAGGCCUACAUGUCAGACUGACCCUCCACUAUGGCCCGCUGCCAUCCAGGCCUACAUGUCAGACUGACCCUCCACUAUGGCCCGCUGCCAUCCAGGCCUACAUGUCAGACUGACCCUCCACUAUGGCCCGCUGCCAUCCAGGCCUACAUGUCAGACUGACACUCCACUAUGGCCCGCUGCCAUCCAGGCCUACAUGUCAGACUGACCCUCCACUAUGGCCCGCUGCCAUCCAGGCCUACAUGUCAGACUGACCCUCCACUAUGGCCCGCUGCCAUCCAGGCCUACAUGUCAGACUGACCCUCCACUAUGGCCCGCUGCCAUCCAGGCCUACAUGUCAGACUGACCCUCCACUAUGGCCCGCUGCCAUCCAGGCCUACAUGUCAGACUGACCCUCCACUAUGGCCCGCUGCCAUCCAGGCCUACAUGUCAGACUGACACUCCACUAUGGCCCGCUGCCAUCCAGGCCUACAUGUCAGACUGACACUCUACUAUGGCCCGCUGCCAUCCAGGCCUACAUGUCAGACUGACACUCCACUAUGGCAUGGCUUAGAGCUGGGACAAUAAACCAAAAAAUUAUGGAUACUGACCGACCCAGUGAUUUAUCGUGGACAUUUUUACUGAUAUCGAUAGUAACGAUAAGUCGUUUUUACUUGAGAAAUGUGAAGUUUGCUCGGGCUAUUUCAAACAAUUUAUAGCUACAACAUUCAAAAUAGUAGAUGUUUUAAGGGAAAUAUAAAGAAAUAACUGGUGCACACCACACUGGUAUUCCUGAUUCUAUGGGUCUGAGAGAGUUGUGCUCCACGGUUUUCUAUUUCUGUGUAUGUUUUCUUUGUUGAUCAG